CCCUAGCCCUGAUGGGAGCAGCAUCCUUUUGUGGCGUUCCCGAUAGUUAUAGGAAGGUAUAAGAGAUAGAGCGAACAGCAGGAAAUAAU
rnacentral:sRNA from 1 species